UUUAUUGGUUCUUUUUAGUUAUAUAUAACAUUAGGAUUCAUUUUGACAUAAUUAUAAAAGAAUGGAAUAUAAUUUGCUCUAAGUCAGUUCCUAGUACUACCCCCUUUCCACCCCUCCCCCAUCCCUUGUUUGCUUUCCCUCUACUCCAUUGAUCUUUCUGCUAUCUAAUUUUAGUUUCGGUUGUUGUUGUUUUGUUGUUUAGUGUCUGGUGGCUAUACAUGAUGGUGAGGUUCACUGUGGUAUAUUCAUAUGUGUACAGAGGAAAAUUAAGUCAGAUUCAUUCUAUUACUUUUCCCUUAUGCAUCUCUUUUCAUCUAGCCUUUCAUAUAGCCCAUCAAUCUUUCUUUCUAUUUAAUGGAAUUUCUUCCUACUUUUCCCUUUCUCUCUCACUCUCUCUCUAUUUCAGACUAGCUUCCACAUAUCAGAGAAAACAUUCAACCUUUGAUUUUCUGAGUCUGGUGUGUUUCGUUUAGCAUGAGAGAGUCUCCAGUUUGGUCCAUUUACCAGCAAAUGCCAUAAUUCAUUCUUCUUUAUGGCUGAGUAAUACACCAUUGUGUGUGUGUGUGUGCGCGUGUGUGUGUUUGUGUGUAUGUAUCAGAGUUGAAGUGUCAGAAGUUUAGAUCUAUCACCUUAACCCUGAGUAUAUACCCCAAAGAAUCAAGGACAUAUUCUAUUUGUACACAAAAAUAUUUACACACUAAUUUUAUGGCAACAUUAUUAAUAGCCAAAGAUGAAAUAAACUGAUAUGUCCACAAUUUAAUAAAUAAUGAACAAAUGCAGUAUAUCCAUAAAUGGAAUAUCAUUUCCUCCUAAAAGAGGGAAUGAAGAACUGAUAGAUGCUAUAAAAUGGGUGAAUGUUUAAAAUGUUAUGCUAAUAGAAAGAAAUCAGAUACAAAAAGCCACAUUUUAUCCAUUUCUAUGAACUUUCCUGAA
rnacentral:lncRNA from 1 species